CUGGGUUUCAUGCUGAGAAGAUGCUGUGGGUGAACGUCCGGGGUCCGAUGGUGCUUGUCGAUGUCUCCCCUAGCUAGGAGAUUGCACUGAACCUGGCUCGGCCCUCCGAAGCGAGCCCCUGCCUCCACCCCAGCCAGCAGGACAGAGCAGCGCGGGUCAGAGGACCGCCUGGCGCUGGGGGACCACGGAUGCUGCUUGGAUUCAGGAGCCGCAGGCCCCUGAACCUGCCCCUUCCCCAGCUCCCACCGCCCGUCCCGCCCGUCUGGGCCCUUCUCAAGCAGUGGUACCCAGGGCUCUCCAAACACCUCGAAGACUGAAGCACUGUUGUGGUUUUGUUGUUUCCUGUUGCUUACCCAGCUGAUCCACCAUUGGUGCGUGAAGUGGGAUUCCAUCCAAUAAGCAGCAUGGUGCCUGAGACCCUCCUGAUUGAAGCAGCAGCAAUUUAUGUGGCAACAGCAACCUCACCUGCAGCAGUUUACAUGGCAGCAGCAGGGGGUGUUCAUGCUCCCUCUUUCAUGUACCACAGGCCACUAAUCACAGAGAUCUGCUGCAGCUGGCAUUCUAGCCAUGUGCACACAGACUGACUGCCCAGUUCCACCUCCCAAUGCCUCCCUCCUGCAACCCAUGCUUCUUCCUCUGAGUUCCAGGCAGGUUUCUCCACUGCCAGGACAGAGUCUAUCAGGAAAGCAAGGACUGUGAGGCUGCCCAACUCUAGAAGCCGGAGCAAUGGGCCCUACUCAGGCCCUUUGAUUGCCUUGGGCAGGGGGAGCUGGUAGUGCCAGGGGAUGCCAUUAGAUAUUAGUGAAAGAAAGUGGUUAGCCUUGCCCAUCCAGUGCCCCAAGGCCACCCCUAUUGUGGGACAGAUUGGCACAACUAGUGGGUAAUGAGUUACUUGCUGUGCCCAGGUGAGCAUCCCUGAAGGAACACCAAACCACCAAGGAACUUAUGUCUUAAGUGCGGCUUGUUUCCUUCAGCACGCUGGGGGUUAACUUAACUCCCUGGGCCCCUGAGGUGGGAACAGAGAAACAGCCCAGUUACCUGGGCGUGUGGAGGGGGGAGGUCUAUGCCAAAGGGGUGUGGAGUGGCAUCACCUGGCACUUUCCAGGGCUGGGCUAGAACCCAGGCCGAGUUUUCCGGUUGGUUUGCUCUUUAAUGGAUGCGUUGCAGCCCGGGCUGCAAAGCUGGGUUUCUCCCAC